AUGUCAUGCUUUCGACUACCAAGGGGUUCCAUCAUUAGGCAGUUUUGGUGGGGGAGUAAGCAAGGCAAACGAAAACCGAGUUGGGUUGCCUGGGAUACAAUGACACAACCAAAACACUUGGGGGGCCUUGGAUUCCGUGAUUUGGAAAUCUUCAACUUAGACAUACUUGCGAGGUAAGCAUGGAGGAUUAUGACUGACGAAACUUCCCUUAGUGCCCAAAUUUUGAAAGUUGUUUACUUCCCACACACCACACUUUUGGAGGAAGAACCGGGCCCUCAUCCCUCUCAGUUUUGGCGAGCAGUGUUAGAUGGAAAGGAGAUCUUAGCCUAGGGUAUUGUGAGAAGAAUCGGUGAUGGGGAGAGCACAAACAUAUGGGCACACAAUUGGAUCCCUCCUGAAAGUUUUAAAAGGCUUAUUACGUCCAUUGUGCCUAACCCACCACAACGAGUUUUUGACCUCAUUGAUGCCACCUCAGCAUAA
rnacentral:rRNA from 1 species